AUGUCGACCAUCUCCUCCACCACUAUCUCGUCCUACCGAAAGCGGUAUGGUCACGAGAGCAGGGCCACGACUGCCGCGCGAGGGCAAUCCGACGCGCCGGCGAUGCUCUACGCGAGCAGCAAGACCACCGGAGCGUGGAGCGGAACUGUGUCGGCGGCGGAUGAGACUCACGACGUCAGUCUGUCCGGAGCCCUUAACGCCGAUUUUAAAGUCUCUCGCGGCAGCAAUAAGUCGCUUAACGACCGCUUCGUCAGUUACGUAGAGAAGGUGCAGUUGUUGGAGCAGCGCAAUGAGGCUCUGCGCACGGAGCUGGAGCGCUAUCGUGGGAACGGACCCUCGCGCAUCGCCGAGCUGUGCGCGCACGAAGUGGCGGAUCUGCGGCGGCACGUGGACCAGCUGACCAAUGAGAAAGCGCGGGCGGAGAUACAACGGGACAACUUACUCGUGGACAUAGAACGGAUCCGUGCGAAGCUGCAGGAGGAGAUUCUGCAGAGAGAGCAGGCUGAGAGGAGCACACAGAGCUUCAGACAGGAUGUGAACAUUGCUGCUCUAGCACGAGUGGACCUGGAGAGGAAAGUGGAGUCCCUUCAGGACGAAAUUCGGUUCCUGAAGAAGCUCCAUGAAGAGGAGCUGAGAGAGAUACAGGCUCAGAGCCAGCAGCAGUCUGAUCUGACCUCCGCCCUCAGGGAAAUCCAGGUGCAGUACGAGAACCUGGCCUCCAAGAAUGCUCACGUGUCUGAGGAGUGGUACGACUCCAAGUCCUAUCUGUCAUGGCUUAAAUCUCUCCAUAUUGUGGAUGCGGAAUUGCAGUUCGCCGAACUCUCUGAAGUCGCAAACAGAAAUAAAGAAACUCUGCGAGCGGCCAAGCGAGAGGCCAAUGAGUUCCGGUACCAGGUUCAGGCUCUUAACCGUGAAGUGGACGCCCUCAAGGGGACAAACGAGGCUCUGGAGCGACAGAUGAGACAGACAGAGGAGAACUUUGCUCUGGAGUCCACGGCUUAUCACAACACCAUCAGCCGUCUGAAGGAAAACAUCCUGGACCUAAAAGACCAGAUAGCUCGAAACCUGCACGAGUACCAGGACCUGCUCAACGUUAAGAUAGCGUUGGACAUCGAGAUCGCCACCUACAGGAGGCUUAUAGAAGGAUCUGUAACAGACCCUGUGCUGGAGUCCAGAACCUCCACGAAGGUUCUCAUCAAGACCACUGAGAUCAGAGAUGGAGAGCACAAGUCACGCGAGGAAACUUCUAGAUUAUAGUAAUAAAACACGAGAGAGAGAGAGAGAGAGCGAGAGAGAGAGAGGGAGAGAGAGUGCUUAAUGAGUCUACGCAGAACCGUGAAGAACCGGAAUGACCUCCUUCUUUCCCUACUUCGAUUCACACCUCGUCGAAACACACAACACACAACACACAGCAGCAUCAUCCGUCCCUGUGAGGCCUACAGAAAUAACCGCCGUCCCUCAGCUGCUACUUUUCCAGUGCUUUAUUCACUCAGGAGUUGACUGAGUUCUUUCUUCUGAAAUUAACAUUAACGAUAAUAACGUCUGAGAAACCAGACAGCUUUUCACUACUUUGAACUGUUAAGAUGAUUAUUUUAAGCAUUCAACUCUUUUUUUUUUUUUUUUUUUUAAUUAAUAUAGUAGAGAAAUGUUAGGUGAAUUAUUUUUCAUGUAGUUACUGGAUAAUAAGAUCCCAAAUCUUUUGGAAAUGUUUUAGAAGUUAGUGAGCGAAAUUAAGUCAUUUUAAUACAGUAAAUGUUUAACAUCUGGGUUCAAAUCCGAUAGAAAGAAAUCAGUAUAUAAUGUGAAGAUGAGCAGAACAAAGGAUGAGUGUAAAACUUCCUGCUUCUUCACAUUAGGGAUUCUUCAUACUAGUAAAGUUUUAAGAGGGCUUAGGCACAAUGUUUUAUUCUUCACUGUUCAAGGUUCUUUAUUUGUCACAUACGUAUUACAUGCAGACAUGUGGGGCGUUUUUCCUUAGUUCCUCAUGCAACGUUGCGAGAACGGACAGAACCGACAUCAAACUACUGUAACUGAGGACUUAUUAUGAAUAUAAUCAAAUCUAUUAAACUUCUAAUUAAA